AUUGAACGCUGGCGGCAGGCCUAACACAUGCAAGUCGAGCGAGCGGCGGACGGGUGAGUAAUGUCUGGGAAACUGCCUGAUGGAGGGGGAUAACUACUGGAAACGGUAGCUACUACCGCAUACCAUACGACGUGCCCCGAUGGGAUUAGCUAGUAGGGGGGGUAACGGCUCACCUAGGCGACGAUCCCUCGCUGGUCUGAGAGGAUGACCAGCCACACUGGAACUGAGACACGGUCCAGACUCCUACGGGAGGCAGCAGUGGGGAAUAUGGCACAAUGGGCGCAAGCCUGAUGCAGCCAUGCCGCGUGUGUGAAGAAGGCCUUCGGGUUGUAAAGCACUUUCAGCGGGGAGGCGUUACCCGCAGAAGAAGCACCGGCUAACUCCGUGCCAGCCGCCGCGGUAAUUC
rnacentral:rRNA from 1 species